rnacentral:tRNA from 1 species
UUAGUGAUAAUCUAUGGCAACACAACGCACUGAUUUUAAACGCAAACUAUUGAUUUUCUGUUGUUCCUGUAGGAACUCAUAAUCGCUUGGUCGUUGGUUCAAACCCAACAGGGGCCACCA